UCGGGAGGAUCGACGUGGUCGAUGAGUUCCAGCUCGUUUUCCCAGCACAGCUUCCACCGCACCUCAGAACGCAUGCAAAGACCUCCUUUGGUAUUUCCUGCUGCUGUUUUUGAAGCCCGCACUGUGCGAUCGAAGCAGUGGCCGCCCCGAUGCAUGUCGGCGCCGUUGCUCGGGUUCGCGCUAUAGCCAGUCCGGAUCGUCAAAUGUUUCGCCGUCACUCGCGUCUGAGAUCAUUCCUAGUGCAUCAUCACGGGAGAUUGGUAAAAUGGAUUGUAUGAAUGGAAUUAUCGAUGCUUUGUAUGUCGAAUAUACGGGUUUCUUAGA
rnacentral:sRNA from 10 species